ACGAACGCUGGCGGCGUGCUUAACACAUGCAAGUCGAACGGGUCUGCCCUGUUUUUUGCGGGGUGGGUCAGUGGCGAACGGGUGAGUAACACGUGAGUAACCUGCCCCUCACUUCUGGAUAACCGCUUGAAAGGGUGGCUAAUACGGGGUGUUCUGGCUGUGCCGCAUGGUGUGGCUGGGAAAGAUUCACUUUUGUGGUGUUUUGGUGGGGGAUGGGCUCGCGGCCUAUCAGCUUGUUGGUGGGGUGAUGGCCUGCCAAGGCUUUGACGGGUAGCCGGCCUGAGAGGGUGGGCGGUCACACUGGGACUGAGAUACGGCCCAGACUCCUGCGGGAGGCAGCAGUGGGGGGUAUUGCACAAUGGGCGGAAGCCUGAUGCAGCGACGUCGCGUGAGGGAUGGAGGCCUUCGGGUUGUGAACCUCUUUCGCCGGUGAAGAAGGUCCUGCUCUUUGGGGUGGGGUUGACGGUAGCCGGGUUAUGAAGCGCCGGCUAACUACGUG
rnacentral:rRNA from 1 species